rnacentral:rRNA from 1 species
CGACCGGCGCACGGGUGCGUAACGCGUAUGCAACCUACCUUAACAGGGGAUAACACUGAGAAUUGGUACUAAUACCCCAUAAUAUCAUAGAAGGCAUCUUUUAUGGUUGAAAAUUCCGAUGGUUAGAGAUGGGCAUGCGUUGUAUUAGCUAGUUGGUGGGGUAACGGCUCACCAAGGCGACGAUACAUAGGGGGACUGAGAGGUUAACCCCCCACACUGGUACUGAGACACGGACCAG